UUCUUCCUGUGUCUAGUGGUUGAAAGACCCCCGGAGCAGGGAGACCCUCAUUCAAGUCUCGGGAUGAUACGACCCCCCAAGAACUCAUGUGAGACC
rnacentral:pre_miRNA from 14 species